rnacentral:tRNA from 1 species
GGAGAGGUGACAGAGUGGCCGAUCGUGCUUCCCUGGAAAGGAAGUGUUGUGGAAACGCAACCGAGGGUUCGAAUCCCUCCCUCUCCGCCA